rnacentral:rRNA from 1 species
AUUGAACGCUGGCGGCAGGCUUAACACAUGCAAGUCGAGCGGAGUGAUGGUGCUUGCACUAUCACUUAGCGGCGGACGGGUGAGUAAUGCUUAGGAAUCUGCCAUUUAGUGGGGGACAACAUUCCGAAAGGAAUGCUAAUACCGCAUACGUCCCACGGGAGAAAGCAGGGGAUCUUCGGACCUUGCGCUAAAUGAUGAGCCUAAGUCGGAUUAGCUAGUUGGUGGGGUAAAGGCCUACCAAGGCGACGAUCUGUAGCGGGUCUGAGAGGAUGAUCCGCCAGACUGGGACUGAGACACGGCCCAGACUCCUACGGGAGGCAGCAGUGGGAAUAUUGGACAAUGGGCGGAAGCCUGAUCUAGCCAUGCCGCGUGUGUGAAGAAGGCCUUUUGGUUGUAAAGCACUUUAAGCGAGGAGGAGGCUACUAGUACUAAUACUACUGGAUAGUGGACGUUACUCGCAGAAUAAGCACCGACUAACUCUGUGCCAGCAGCCGCGGUAAGAC